rnacentral:rRNA from 1 species
CCCUACGGGAGGCAGCAGUGGGGGAUAUUGGACAAUGGGGGAAACCCUGAUCCAGCGAUGCCGCGUGAGGGAAGAAGGUUUUCGGAUUGUAAACCUCUGUGGAGGGGGACGAUAAUGACGGUACCCCUUUAGGAAGCCACGGCUAACUACGUGCCAGCAGCCGCGGUAAUACGUAGGUGGCGAGCGUUAUCCGGAUUUACUGGGUGUAAAGGGAGCGUAGACGGCAGAGAAAGUCUGAAGUGAAAGCCCGCGGCUCAACCGCGGAACUGCUUUGGAAACUUUUCGGCUAGAGUACCGGAGAGGUA